rnacentral:rRNA from 1 species
AUUGAACGCUGGCGGCAUGCCUUACACAUGCAAGUCGAACGGUAACAGGUCUUCGGAUGCUGACGAGUGGCGAACGGGUGAGUAAUACGUCGGAACGUGCCCGAGAGUGGGGGAUAACGAGGCGAAAGCUUUGCUAAUACCGCAUACGAUCUCAGGAUGAAAGCAGGGGACCGCAAGGCCUUGCGCUCACGGAGCGGCCGAUGGCAGAUUAGGUAGUUGGUGGGAUAAAAGCUCACCAAGCCGACGAUCUGUAGCUGGUCUGAGAGGACGACCAGCCACACUGGGACUGAGAAACGGCCCAGACUCCUACGGGAGGCAGCAGUGGGGAAUUUUGGACAAUGGGCGCAAGCCUGAUCCAGCCAUGCCGCGUGCAGGAUGAAGGCCUUCGGGUUGUAAACUGCUUUUGUACGGAACGAAAAGACUCCUUCUAAUAAAGGGGGUUCAUGACGGUACCGUAAGAAUAAGCACCGGCUAACUACGUGCCAGCAGCCGCGGUAAUAC